rnacentral:rRNA from 1 species
GCAUAACGUCGCAAGACCAAAGUGGGGGACCUUCGGGCCUCAUGCCAUCAGAUGUGCCCAGAUGGGAUUAGCUAGUAGGUGGGGUAACGGCUCACCUAGGCGACGAUCCCUAGCUGGUCUGAGAGGAUGACCAGCCACACUGGAACUGAGACACGGUCCAGACUCCUACGGGAGGCAGCAGUGGGGAAUAUUGCACAAUGGGCGCAAGCCUGAUGCAGCCAUGCCGCGUGUGUGAAGAAGGCCUUCGGGUUGUAAAGCACUUUCAGCGGGGAGGAAGGCGGUGAGGUUAAUAACCUCAUCGAUUGACGUUACCCGCAGAAGAAGCACCGGCUAACUCCGUGCCAGCAGCCGCGGUAAUACGGAGGGUGCAAGCGUUAAUCGGAAUUACUGGGCGUAAAGCGCACGCAGGCGGUCUGUCA